GGGGGUUUAGCUCAGUUGGUAGAGCGCCUGCCUUGCAAGCAGGAUGUCAGCGGUUCGAGUCCGCUAACCUCCA
rnacentral:tRNA from 2 species